rfam:Photobacterium marinum strain AK15 contig24, whole genome shotgun sequence.
AAAACCCCGAAUCUCAUAUUCAACUUGGCGGGAGACUAUGAGAAUUCAGGGCCAGCAUAAAUGCUUGAGGUAAUUUUAACACAUGGAUCACCAAACACAAUCCACACAUAACCGCCAU